rnacentral:rRNA from 1 species
GGUUAAGCGACUAAGCGUACACGGUGGAUGCCCUGGCAGUCAGAGGCGAUGAAGGGCGUGCUAAUCUGCGAUAAGCGCCGGUAAGGUGAUAUGAACCGUUAUAACCGGCGAUACCCGAAUGGGGAAACCCAGUGUGACUCGUCACACUAUCAUUAACUGAAUCCAUAGGUUAAUGAGGCGAACCGGGGGAACUGAAACAUCU